GAUGAACGCUGGCGGCGUGCCUAAUACAUGCAAGUCGAGCGAACAGAUAAGGAGCUUGCUCCUUUGACGUUAGCGGCGGACGGGUGAGUAACACGUGGGUAACCUACCUAUAAGACUGGGAUAACUUCGGGAAACCGGAGCUAAUACCGGAUAAUAUUUCGAACCGCAUGGUUCGAUAGUGAAAGAUGGUUUUGCUAUCACUUAUAGUUGGACCCGCGCCGUAUUAGCUAGUUGGUAAGGUAACGGCUUACCAAGGCGACGAUACGUAGCCGACCUGAGAGGGUGAUCGGCCACACUGGAACUGAGACACGGUCCAGACUCCUACGGGAGGCAGCAGUAGGGAAUCUUCCGCAAUGGGCGAAAGCCUGACGGAGCGACGCCGCGUGAGUGAUGAAGGUCUUCGGAUCGUAAAACUCUGUUAUUAGGGAAGAACAUACGUGUAAGUAACUGUGCACGUCUUGACGGUACCUAAUCAGAAAGCCACGGCUAACUACGUG
rnacentral:rRNA from 1 species